rnacentral:rRNA from 1 species
UAUACGACCGUACCGCAAACCGACACUGGUGCGCGAGAUGAGUAUUCUAAGGCGCUUGAGAGAACUCAGGAGAAGGAACUCGGCAAAUUGACACCGUAACUUCGGAAGAAGGUGUGCCCUAUUAGUGUGAAGUGAACAACGGAGCAUGAAUGGGUUGCAAAAAAUCGGUGGCUGCGACUGUUUAUUAAAAACACAGCACUCUGCAAACACGAAAGUGGACGUAUAGGGUGUGACGCCUGCCCGGUGCUGGAAGAUUAAAUGAUGGGGUGCAAGCUCUUGAUUGAAGUCCCAGUAAACGGCGGCCGUAACUAUAACGGUCCUAAGGUAGCGAAAUUCCUUGUCGGGUAAGUUCCGACCUGCACGAAUGGCGUAACGAUGGCCACACUGUCUCCUCCUGAGACUCAGCGAAGUUGAAAUGUUUGUGAUGAUGCAAUCUCCCCGCGGAAAGACGGAAAGACCCCAUGAACCUUUACUGUAGCUUUGUAUUGGACUUUGAACAGAUCUGUGUAGGAUAGGUGGGAGGCUUUGAAGCAGGGUCGCUAGAUCUUGUGGAGCCAACGUUGAAAUACCACCCUGGUGUGUUUGAGGUUCUAACCUGGGUCCAUAUCUGGAUCGGGGACAGUGCAUGGUAGGCAGUUUGACUGGGGCGGUCUCCUCCCAAAGCGUAACGGAGGAGUUCGAAGGUACGCUAGUUACGGUCGGACAUCGUGACGAUAGUGCAAUGGCAUAAGCGUGCUUAACUGCGAGACUGACAAGUCGAGCAGAUGCGAAAGCAGGACAUAGUGAUCCGGUGGUUCUGUAUGGAAGGGCCAUCGCUCAACGGAUAAAAGGUACUCUGGGGAUAACAGGCUGAUACCGCCCAAGAGUUCAUAUCGGCGGCGGUGUUUGGCACCUCGAUGUCGGCUCAUCUCAUCCUGGGGCUGUAGCCGGUCCCAAGGGUAUGGCUGUUCGCCAUUUAAAGAGGUACGUGAGCUGGGUUUAAAACGUCGUGAGACAGUUUGGUCCCUAUCUUCCGUGGGCGCUGCAGAUUUGAGGAAGCCUGCUCCUAGUACGAGAGGACCGGAGUGGACACACCUCUGGUGUAUCGGUUGUCACGCCAGUGGCAUUGCCGAGUAGCUAAGUAUGGAAGAGAUAAACGCUGAAAGCAUCUAAGCGUGAAACUCGUUUCAAGAUGAGAUCUGCCGGGGCCUUGAGCCCCCUGAAGAGUCGUUCAAGACCAGGACGUUGAUAGGUCAGGUGUGGAAGCGCAGUAAUGCGUUAAGCUAACUGAUACUAAUUGCUCGUGCGGCUUGGC